ACGGUUUUGAACAUUUUUAGAACAAGGUGUUGCUGCUGCGUCUCAUGCCAUGGAGCAAAAGCCAGAAGUUGUAAUUGUCGCACCCACUCGUGAAUUGGCCAUCCUAAUUCACCGCGAGGCGUGUAAAUUCUCCUACAGUUCGCUUUUAAAGUCUGUGAUUAUAUAUGGAUGAACUGUCACGAGCUAUCAGCGAUCAAAUCUUCAAGCUGGGUGUAAUAUUGUUGUCGCGACCGCGGUGCGAUUUAAGGAUUUUGUCGACUGUGGAGUAUUUGUCUUCUCGGGAGUCAGGUUUUUAAUUUUGGACGAAGCUGAUCUAAAUCAUUUGGGCAUUAAGCACACCUGAUUUUGAACAACACCAGAAGAAGAUGAUCAGGAAACUCAAGUAAUACCAAAAGCGCUGCUAGCAAGAGCAGAACGAUAUAUUGCUUAGAUCGAAUGAAAGAUGAUUGCUCAAGUACGCAGUGACAGGAAACGGCUCGGUUUACCUUGAGCUAUGACAAAGAUAAGAUUGUAAGAUUGGUAUACUCCGACGUACGGUACUGGCAUGAAGUGCAUAAGGAACAGUAGCGUAUGCAAAUCAACUUGAGCUACUCGCUUUAAGUUUCCGAGAUGGCAUUCCUUACUAAAUCGCCAGUAUGUUCCGGUAUCUGACAUUUUUGGACCGCCAGAUUGCUCUAAUAAAUUGGCAUCUACUAAAUAUGUUGGCGCUAUCAAAUACCAGGGCGUGUGGCGGUUUCUUAUUGAACAGCGGCUAUAGAAAUUGCUAUGCCGAGAUCAAAUUCUGUGCAAAUCGUAACCAGUUUAAACGGGGGCGCCAAAUAGUGACAUCUAGCGGGGAAAAGUGAGGUAAAUGGAACGCCAUGUAGUGGUCGGUACCACAGCUUGUAGUGAAUUAAGUCAUAUGACAUUGUGACAGAAAAACAAAAUAAGGAUUUUAAAUCACGGUAUAAACCUUUUUUCACGGUUUGCAAGGAAAUGAUUCGGAAAUGGAAAUUAUGUUGCUGUCUUAUGUUAAACAACCAUUAGGUAAGGAAAACUUAACUUGUAUUUUGUAAUUUUUUGCCAGGUUUUGCUUAGUGAACUUGCAGUUUUUCAAGAUAACUGCAAAUGGUAGUGCCAAAAUCAGAAGAAUUUUGUCUGACUUCUUUACUACGUGAACCUUAAAAGGCCUUGUUAUACCAAAGGGCGUCCAACGGAGAAAUUGGGCUAGUUUAAGGAUUCAAGUAGUUGACAUUUACAACUAAAUUGUUAAUGUUUAUAUUUGAUUGUAUUUUCCUUUAUUCAGACUCAAUGAUUCUAACAGCCUGGUUGCAAACUUUUAGCUAUUGCGUUGCAAUGAAUGUAUUUAUAAUCCAGUCUACAACACUCAGAAAAUGCCAAGUUUGUUCUCCAGUGUCGUCUAUCCCUUUACCCUGUGUGCUUUUCCGCCUCACGAUUCCAUGCCGCUUAGCACUAAACGCUCUAAAAAUAGAAUUGACGAGUUCUCUUAAAAAAAUUAUCCAUAUUUUAUGUGCGACUUUCAUUUUUGGUUGUAUAUUAAGAUAAAAGAUGGCGCUAAUGGACGUAUGUUUUUUUAUGACAAGUGAAUCAACAGUGAACUGGGAAACCGGUGUCUGAUUUGUUUGUUUUAUGUGUUACAUUCCGAAGAAAAGUAUAAUAAAAUCUAAUGGUAUGAUUCGUA